GUAGGUGGCAAGCGUUGUCCGGAAUUAUUGGGCGUAAAGCGUGCGCAGGCGGUCCUUUAAGUCUGAUGUGAAAGCCCACGGCUCAACCGUGGAGGGUCAUUGGAAACUGGGGGACUUGAGUACAGAAGAGGAAAGCGGAAUUCCAAGUGUAGCGGUGAAAUGCGUAGAGAUUUGGAGGAACACCAGUGGCGAAGGCGGCUUUCUGGUCUGUAACUGACGCUGAGGCGCGAAAGCGUGGGGAGCAAACAGGAUUAGAUACCCUGGUAGUCCACGCCGUAAACGAUGAGUGCUAAGUGUUAGGGGGUUUCCCGCCCCCUUAGUGCUGCAGCUAACGCAUUAAGCACUCCGCCUGGGGAGUACGGCCGCAAGGCUG
rnacentral:rRNA from 1 species